GACUAAUAAUCAGGUAAAUGUUCAGAAGGCAGAGAAGGACAGUAAGAAAGCAGUUUUCUUUCAUGCUGGAAUCCCAGGUUCAAGCACAUUAAACUUCAAAACAACCCCAACAGCCUCUGCCCCGGGGAACCGGCAGUCACCUAACAGAGAGGAAUCCGGUAACAGAUCAGAAACAAGGUGGAAAACUGAGAGUCCGGAAUCGAUUGAUGCCUACACCAGCUUGUCGCUGUGCAUCUGGGAAUCAGAAAGAUGGGAUUCCAAGAGCCGGGCUCGCUUCCUGACCUGGAGCCCAGACACAGGACUUUUAAAACAAUGCCCGAUUCUCGGUGGCUUACACAAUCGAA